rnacentral:rRNA from 1 species
UACGAAGGGUGCAAACGUUGCUCGGAAUCAUUGGGCGUAAAGCGCACGUAGGCGGUCCACUAAGUUGGAUGUGAAAGCCCCGGGCUCAACCCGGGAAGUGCAUACAAAACUGGUGGACUUGAAUAUGGAAGAGGGUCGCGGAAUUCCCGGUGUAGAGGUGAAAUUCGUAGAUAUCGGGAGGAACACCAGUGGCGAAGGCGGCGACCUGGGCCAAUAUUGACGCUGAGGUGCGAAAGCGUGGGGAGCAAACAGG